rnacentral:rRNA from 1 species
UACAGGGGGGGCAAGCGUUGUUCGGAAUUAUUGGGCGUAAAGAGCUCGUAGGCGGCUUGUCACGUCGGGUGUGAAAGACCGGGGCUUAACUCCGGUUCUGCAUUCGAUACGGGCUAGCUAGAGUGUGGUAGGGGAGAUCGGAAUUCCUGGUGUAGCGGUGAAAUGCGCAGAUAUCAGGAGGAACACCGGUGGCGAAGGCGGAUCUCUGGGCCAUUACUGACGCUGAGGAGCGAAAGCGUGGGGAGCGAACAGG